rnacentral:rRNA from 1 species
CCUACGGGCGGCAGCAGUGGGGAAUAUUGGACAAUGGGCGAAAGCCUGAUCCAGCCAUGCCGCGUGUGUGAAGAAGGCCUUCGGGUUGUAAAGCACUUUCAGUGGGGAAGAAAGCCUUGGGGCUAAUACCCUCGAGGAAGGACAUCACCCACAGAAGAAGCACCGGCUAACUCCGUUCCAGCAGCCGCGGUAAUACGGAGGGUGCGAGCGUUAAUCGGAAUUACUGGGCGUAAAGCGCGCGUAGGCGGUCUGAUAAGCCGGUUGUGAAAGCCCCGGGCUCAACCUGGGAACGGCAUCCGGAACUGUCAGGCUAGAGUGCAGGAGAGGAAGGUAGAAUUCCCGGUGUAGCGGUGAAAUGCGUAGAGAUCGGGAGGAAUACCAGUGGCGAAGGCGGCCUUCUGGACUGAAACUGACGCUGAGGUGCGAAAGCGUGGGUAGCAAACAGGAUUAGAUACCCCGGUAUC